rnacentral:rRNA from 1 species
UUACCAGAGUACUAUGAAUAUUAAAAAAUUUAAAACUCAAAGAACUUGGCGGUGUUUUAGACCACUUAGGGGAACCUGUCUCGUAAUCGAUAGUCCACGUUGUAUCUGACCUUUCUUUGUUUACAGUUUGUAUACCGUUGUCGUCAGUUAACUUUUUAGAAACUAGAAGUUAGCAACAGAAAUAGAUGAUUUAAUACGUCAAAUCAAGGUGCAGCUAAUGGAAAGGGGAGGAUGGGUUACAAUUAUGUUAUUUAUAAUACGGAAAAUCGUAUGAAAAUAUGUUGAUUUUUAAGGCGGACUUGAAAGUAAAUUAGGUUAUAUGAAUAAUUUGAAUUAGGCUCUGAAACGUGU